CAGUCGCCGCGGUAAGACAGAGGUCCCGAGCGUUGUUCGGAUUCAUUGGGCGUAAAGGGUGUGUAGGAGGCCAGGUAAGUCAGGUGUGAAAUCUCAGAGCUUAACUCUGAAACUGCGCUUGAUACUGCUUGGCUAGAGGAUCGGAGGGGGUAACGGAAUUUAUGGUGUAGCAGUGAAAUGCGUAGAUAUCAUAAGGAACACCGGUGGCGAAGGCGGUUACCUGGAAGAUUCCUGACUCUGAAACACGAAAGCCAGGGGAGCAAACGGGAUUAGAGACCCCUGUAGUCCCUGUCUCUUAUAA
rnacentral:rRNA from 1 species